rnacentral:misc_RNA from 1 species
UCCGGUUUGUCACCGGCAGUCUCAUUAGAGUGCCCUUUCGUAGCAACUAAUGACAAGGGUUGCGCUCGUUGCGGGACUUAACCCAACAUCUCACGACACGAGCUGACGACAGCCAUGCAGCACCUGUGUUCCGAUUCUCUUUCGAGCACCCCCGCCUCUCAGCGGGGUUCCGGACAUGUCAAGGGUAGGUAAGGUUUUUCGCGUUGCAUCGAAUUAAUCCACAUCAUCCACCGCUUGUGCGGGUCCCCGUCAAUUCCUUUGAGUUUUAAUCUUGCGACCGUACUCCCCAGGCGGUCAACUUCACGCGUUAGCUGCGUUACUGAGUCAAUUAAGACCCAACAACUAGUUGACAUCGUUUAGGGCGUGGACUAC